CACAGCCCUUCUUUGCUUUUAUGAGUACAGUAGUGGUUCUCAGCUGGAGGAUUUCUCCUACAGUCGGAGGGAAAACCCGGGAAUGAGGAAUGCUGAUGGACAUAGCACUAUCAGAGGACUUGAUCCUGUUUCUCAGAGAGGAAGACAGACACUCUUAGCAUAAUGAGGGUCAAAAGUUGGGCCAGGCCGGGCACGGUGGCUCACGC
rnacentral:lncRNA from 1 species